UGGAUUAGGGUUAGGCAUUGUCUCUUGUCAGGUGUAAUCCUGGUUUGGUUGAGUUGGAAAAAUAAUGGGUGCUGCUAUUUCGAUAAGAUUUGAUUAGUUCCGUUUAGGUUCUAGAUCACUGGCCAUAGUACAUGCUUUGCAAUGGUGGUUGUGUAGUAUAGUACUCAAAACAUUGGGGAAAUACCUUAUGCUCCAGGCUUUUAGGUUCAAACUUAUUUGGUGAAAGUUUUUCUUAGUUAUUCAAUGUUCAUUUGUGAUCAUAUGGUUCGAUGCUUCAUAUUCUUCCUGUUAAACAAUUACUGGGAAUUAAUUGUGGUGUAUUG
rnacentral:lncRNA from 1 species